CGCACUGGUCCUGGUGUGGCUGGUGCCGCUGCUGCUGCUGUGGCCCCGGGGCGCCCUGGGCGAGGAACUGCGGCUGCCGCAGCCCCCCCGGGCCCAGGGCGGCAGAUUGGCUCUCCAACUUCGCCCACUUCAACAAGUACCCGGAGAAGCUCUUCAACAGCAGCGUGAAGUCUAAGGACCCCAAGAAAUCUAAAAACGUUAAAAACCCCAAGAAUGCCGCGAACACCACAAAAAGUCCACCAGCAAACACCGUGAAACCGCUACCAGAGAAUGCUAGGAAACCUCCCCAACAGAACACCGGGAAACCAUAACCACUGACCUCCUCCCAGGGCCCCAGGUAGGAGAGCCUGGGCAGGCUGGCACCGAUCGAUCGAUCGAUAGGGAGCUGCAGAACUGGGGGCAGGUUGGGCUGGAGGGAGAGGAAGCCCCUGGGGUGGGGGUGGGGAUACCAGGGCCGCAGGGCCUUCCUUCUCCAGGCCGGGCCUUGACCUCUAGAUGCCUGGCUCAAGUCUCCUCGCCCGCAGACCGGCUUUAUAUUCCGCGAGGAGCCUUAACUCCUACCUGCCCACCUCCCCCACCGCCAGUGAGAACAAUAAAGAGAAAUCUUUCUA